GGCACAGAGAAGGCUGAAGACAGUGGAGAGAAUGAGGCACAAAAAGCGGAUGGAGAAGAUGCCGGCAACCUCCCUGGACCCCAGAAGGAAGAAGAGGGAGAGACAGCAACAGAAGAGACGGAAGAAAUAACCGAGGAGGGAGCAGAAGGGGAAGCAGAGGAAGAGGAAGCUGAAGAAGAGGAGCCAGGAGAGGAAGGAGAAGAUUCUUAGGCCUUUCCACGCUCAAUUUCUUCCACGUUUCCAGAAAACCCAAGCCGUGAAGCAACAUUUCAAAUGUCUCCCCACAAACCAAACUCUACGAAAUACUUUGGCCUGAAGCUAGCACAGCUCUCUCAGUACAUUCGGGGUUCACCGAGGACGUACUCUAUCUGACAUGGUUAGAUGUACAUGGAUAUAGCUCCUUAAUCACAGCAGUAUGAAAUUAAAUGUGAACAUAGCAUAUGCAUAGCUCCAUGUGCCUGACACUGACAUUCUUGGCCUUUGCUAAGUUGUUUUUUUUUUUUUUUUUUUUGCUUUGCAUGACUAGACCUUCUUAUUAAUACUCGAAAAAACACGAUUUCAAGGUGUGGAACUUCUCUUUGUGAUACAAUAAAAGUAUUUCUUUGUA